UACGGAGGGUGCGAGCGUUGUCCGGAAUCACUGGGCGUAAAGGGCGCGUAGGCGGCCGGCCAAGCGUGCGGUGAAAGUCCGGGGCUCAACCCCGGAUCUGCCGUGCGGACUGGUUUGCUAGAGCACUGUAGAGGCGAGUGGAAUUCCGGGUGUAGCGGUGGAAUGCGUAGAGAUCCGGAAGAACACCGGUGGCGAAGGCGGCUCGCUGGCCCGUAACUGACGCUGAGGCACGAAAGCGUGGGGAGCAAACAGG
rnacentral:rRNA from 1 species